rnacentral:rRNA from 1 species
GACGAACGCUGGCGGCGUGCUUAACACAUGCAAGUCGAACGGAAAGGCCCUGCUUGCAGGGUACUCGAGUGGCGAACGGGUGAGUAACACGUGGGUGAUCUGCCCUGCACUUCGGGAUAAGCCUGGGAAACUGGGUCUAAUACCGGAUAGGAGCCAUUUUUAGUGUGAUGGUUGGAAAGUUUUUUCGGUGUAGGAUGAGCUCGCGGCCUAUCAGCUUGUUGGUGGGGUAAUGGCCUACCAAGGCGGCGACGGGUAGCCGGCCUGAGAGGGUGGACGGCCACAUUGGGACUGAGAGACGGCCCAGACACCUACGGGAGGCAGCAGGGGGGAAUAUUGCACAAUGGGCGCAAGCCUGAUGCAGCGACGCCGCGUGGGGGAUGACGGCCUUCGGGUUGUAAACUCCUUUCGCUAGGGACGAAGCUUUUUGUGACGGUACCUAGAGAAGAAGCACCGGCUAACUACGUG